GACGUAGGGGGCCAGCGUUGUUCGGAAUUACUGGGUGUAAAGGGUUCGUAGGCGGUCCUUUAAGUCUGAUGUGAAAGCCCACGGCUCAACCGUGGAGGGUCAUUGGAAACUGGGGGACUUGAGUGCAGGAGAGAAGAGUGGAAUUCCACGUGUAGCGGUGAAAUGCGCAGAUAUCAGGAAGAACACCCGUGGCGAAGGCGGUUCUCUGGGACGGUACUGACGCUGAGACGCGAAAGCGUGGGGAGCGAACAGG
rnacentral:rRNA from 1 species